CUCAACCCACCACUGCUAGGUUGGCCUGGCUCCCUUGUGCUCUCCACAUGUGGCCCCGCAUGGCAUGGUGUACCUCCUGUCUCUGGGGCUUGUUGACCAGCCAGCAUUGAGUCACCGUAAUCUUCUAGGUCAGACAGGAAAAGAAUUGACGUCGUUACAAAAUACCACUGCGUAAGUGUCUUUGAGAAAAUGGCAGCCAAGUGUACACAGUUGGGCAAUGAGAGGCGAUGGGCAACAGUCCCUGAGCAGGUCCGUUCUUUGGAAGUGACUGUGCAAUACUUCAUCCUGUCCUGCCACCAUCAGUCCUCAUCCUUUACCUCUGCAAGUUACACCGAAGUUCUUCAGGUGGUAGCUGAUGAGAGCAGUAACACAGGAAGUUGCCCAGCUGGGGAUGAAGACACAAGAGCCUACUGCAGAACCACAGCUUCUCAGACCUUUGUACGUGCACAAGCCCUCUGUCUCACCUCCAAUAGAAAGCCAUCCAUCCCCUGUGGGAAUAUUUCUCCCGGGGUAACAACUUUACUAGGAAACUCAGCUAAGAGGCACAUUAACUGUCCAGCAGCCUAUUGGGAAGAGUGGUAGAGGGGGCGAUGUUAAGUCAGGAGGAGAUCGUGUGUGUGGACCAGGAGAAAUACAGCCUUUCAUGACAUUGAGCAUUGUGAGAAGAGUGAGAACACAUUUUCAGAUCAUCAGAAAUGAUUACCAAUUGAAAAGAACGCAGUGUUGCCUUUGCCAUAAUGAGAGGGGCUGAGAGGGCAGCUACAGCAAGGAUGUGGAGAGAAGCAGGGACAGUGAGUCUCCAGCAGCAGGGAGAACAGGGGCCACCCAGACCAGGAGACAGCAUCUAGAGGACUGGGGACAGUGGGCUAUUGCUCUGGCAUCUUCAUUUUCUGUUCCCUUCCACCCACUAGGCAGCCUUUGAAUCUUGAUUUAGCUUCCCUAGUAGACUUUCCUCCUGAAAAGACACAGUUCCCCUUAGAAAAAAAUGCAUGGCCUUUCUGUCUCAGACCAGUUUCAUUUGUUUGCACAGUAUAAGCCAGAUUUCCCCUAGAACCUGAUUAUCCUGGGUAAGCUGAAAAGCCAAAGUGAUAUGACCAGAGCUUGGCAACUCUUCAGAUAUGAGGGAUAAACGUUGAAGAAAGAGUCAAAGAUAACAUUAAAUUUCUAAGCCAGAGUUCCCAGAAGGAUGAUAUACUGCAUACAGAAUAGGAAAAGGUAGAAUCUAUCAAAGUAUUGACCUUCAGGCCUUCCCUCACCACCAACCCUCUAUCUUAAUAUCUUGUGGUGGAGGGUCUGUUGGAAAUAGUCUGUAAUUUCAGGGGCCAUAUUUCACUUCCACAUUCAUUUAAUAAUAAUUAUGUAUUAGGUGCUUACCACGUGCAGGACACUGAAAUGGAUGUUAUGAGAUUGUACAAGGAUGAAAGACUUAGCAUAUCAUCCAAGAAGCACAUUAGAAUUGCGUAGGGAAUAUAAGGCACAUGUAUAAGUAAUGGAAAAUGCAAAUGUAUUUGAUGCUGUCAGCUACAAAUAAGAGAAAAUUCCAACUUUUAAUUUGAUUCAAAGAACAAAAUAAAUGUAUUGUCUCACUUACCAAGAAACCUAGAAAUACGGUGAUUCUGCGAUUGGUUAAUAUAACAGCCUCAGAAUGUCCUCAUGGAUGCAGGUUCUGUCCAUCUUUCCCCUCUGCUAUCUAGGUACGUUGGCCUUGGUCCUCAAGCUUGUCCCCUCACAGACACAAGAGGGCCACAGUUCCAGUCAUUA
rnacentral:lncRNA from 1 species